CCUACGGGGGGCAGCAGUAGGGAAUCUUCCACAAUGGGCGCAAGCCUGAUGGAGCAACACCGCGUGAGUGAAGAAGGGUUUCGGCUCGUAAAGCUCUGUUGUUGGAGAAGAACGUGCGUGAGAGUAACUGUUCACGCAGUGACGGUAUCCAACCAGAAAGUCACGGCUAACUACGUUCCAGCAGCCGCGGUAAUACGUAGGGGGCAGGGGUUAUCCGGAUUUAUUUGGCGUAAAGCGAGCGCAGGCGGUUGGUUAGGUCUGAUGUGAAAGCCUUUGGCUUAACCGCAGAAGUGCAUCGGAAAACG
rnacentral:rRNA from 1 species